CUCGCGCCGCCGGCUGUUUGCCUCCUCCCCUCCCGUCUCCCAUCCACCAGGCCGCGCUGGCGCUCGGGGCGCUCGCCGCCGAGCUCCUCGGCGACGACGCCGCCACCGCAGCAGACGGCACGUCGGAGGCCGACCUCCACGCAAACCCUAGCGCAGCUCAAGGCAAAGCUCAUGGCGCGUGGGUGUCGCGGCCCGGGCACGUGGGUGUCGGGGCGCUCGCCGCCGUGCUCCCCGGCGACGACGACGAUGCCCCCGCAACGGACGGAGCUGGCGUCUCCCCGCCUCGCAUCUCCUCCCCGUCGUCAGGCGCGCUGUGCCGCCAUCCUUCCUCCUCCCCAUCGGGGCCAGGCAGAGGAGGAGGAGCCCGGUGCGCGGACACAUCGAGGAGGCAGCCGGCGUCAGCGCCAAGGUCUUUUCCUGCAUGCGCGACCUCCUCGCCAAGCCCUUCCCAUAUGCGCGGGUCCUUGCUGCCUAGCUCUAUGGCGGUGUCCUCCUCUAGCCGCCACGGACGCUCGUCCUCCUCUGUUCGACAUUGUUCUUCAGGUGGUUCUCCUCUAUCUCGCGCUCGUCUCUUCUGCUCUGCUCGUUUCUUACGUCUUCCCUGUUUCUCUGCUUGAUUUGAAAUUUGGACGGUGCCGUGGCGUUGGUGUUGCCUUGCGGGUCGACCGGAGAGGGAGCGCACCGGUUGAGCUUCUGAGAUGGCCGAGGGAUCUGUGGGAUUUGUCUAGAUCCGUUCUGAUUUUGGUCUGCUCGUGCUCUUCGCUUCCAGCGUGUGUGGUCUCGAGGCGGUACAGUUGAUUUGGUUGCAGGAAAUGUCGUCUGACGACGGAAAAAAUUUCGGUAUGUGCACAUACUAUGAAGACGAGCACGGCCAGUGCGACAGAAAUUUCCUUGUUGAUGGUAGGCGAUUCAGCAUCAAGCUGGAUGAGACUUUCGAAUUCGAUACACGCAUCCCAUGCCAUGCAAGAAUUUUUGUCUUGGAUAAGAU